CCAGAUUCCCAAUGGGGAAGGAUGAGAAGCUUCGACCUCGAAGGUUUGACCCGGCAGGGCAAGGAACAGUGUGACUUAAUCCUUCCCCCACCACCA
rnacentral:sRNA from 1 species